rnacentral:rRNA from 1 species
AUGAGUGUGUUUAAACUCCUCGCCUCAGUAUGUGAUGAGUUGACUCGUAUGAUACGCCAAUAUUGGUGGGGAGUGGAGAAUGGGAAGAAGAAAAUGGCUUGGAUGAGCUGGGACAAAUUGAGACUCCCCAAAUCCAUGGGGGGCAUGGGUUUUCGAGACAUGAGGGCUUUUAACCAGGCCUUGCUAGCCAAACAGGCCUGGAGAUUACUUGAGAUGUCGGGCAGCUUAUGUGCUCGGUUAUUGAAAGCAAAGUACUAUCCAUCUGGUUAUCUUUUGGAUACGGCCUUCCCCGCCAAUGGUUCUGCUGUUUGG